CAGAAGCUAUCAGCUUGCGCUGCUCAGGAGGGUGGCCGCUUUGUCCCAUGCAGACUGGCUCAACUGUGUGACCAGGGCAUGGCCAUGCUGUUUGUUUUGGACUUGGUUGCCAGGGAGCCCUGAUCUGAGCUGUGAAGGGCAGAAUCGGAGGUGAGGAACAUGAUAGCAAAGCAGUCUCACCCCAUACCUGCACCAAGGGCACUGAGCUCUUAGCCAGGCUGCUAGUGAGACUGUUUGAAGGUACGUACUUACCCUGGUCAAGAAGGUUUUUCUUCACCCUUUCACACUGGCUGCAGCUUGUCACAGCCUGAAAUGCUGUGCAACCACAGAAGCUACUGAGGAAAAGAUGAUAAGGUGGUAUGAAAGUAGGUGGAUGUGCAGGUACAGCUCUUCUGCUGCAACAGCACUUGCUAGUACUGCUCAGUGAUGUUUGCUAUAACCACAGGGUGCUGCAUAGUGGACAAAAACUUGUGAACAGGGAAGGGAGAGUUGGGUUUGGGUUCCCAGUGUUAUGGGGUGUGAGCGUGUCUAGUGCAGACUGUCAGUUUUCGUCCUUUACUAGCCUGGUGCUGGGUACAACUUAAGCAGCUGAGGUACCAGUCAUCUUCCUUCACACAUCUUUACUGAUCCAGCUCACGAGACAGCACUAGUGUCUCAGUUGAUAUGGUGUCCCCUCAAUCUGUUCUGACGCAGGAUGAGGAAGGACCUCUCUGGACACCAAUUUUCCCCCUUCCCAGCUGAAGUUUCUCCAUGCCUUUCAUCCCAGACAGGGAUCUCUCAAAGGCUGCAGAACCAAUUGGAGAUAGAAUCCCUCCCACAUCUACCAAUUGGGAGAAUAAAACUAAGUUGGUCGU